UACGUAGGUGGCAAGCGUUAUCCGGAAUUAUUGGGCGUAAAGCGCGCGUAGGCGGUUUCUUAAGUCUGAUGUGAAAGCCCACGGCUCAACCGUGGAGGGUCAUUGGAAACUGGGGAACUUGAGUGCAGAAGAGAAAAGCGGAAUUCCACGUGUAGCGGUGAAAUGCGUAGAGAUGUGGAGGAACACCAGUGGCGAAGGCGGCUUUUUGGUCUGUAACUGACGCUGAGGCGCGAAAGCGUGGGGAGCAAACAGG
rnacentral:rRNA from 1 species